GGUACUCGAGCGGCGAACGGGUGAGUAACACGUGAGUAACCUGCCCCAGGCUUUGGGAUAACCCUCGGAAACGGGGGCUAAUACCGGAUAUGACCUUUGGACGCAUGUCUUUUGGUGGAAAGUUUUUCGGCCUGGGAUGGGCUCGCGGCCUAUCAGCUUGUUGGUGGGGUGAUGGCCUACCAAGGCGACGACGGGUAGCCGGCCUGAGAGGGCGACCGGCCACACUGGGACUGAGACACGGCCCAGACUCCUACGGGAGGCAGCAGUGGGGAAUAUUGCACAAUGGGCGGAAGCCUGAUGCAGCGACGCCGCGUGAGGGAUGACGGCCUUCGGGUUGUAAACCUCUUUCAGCAGGGACGAAGCGUAAGUGACGGUACCUGCAGAAGAAGCGCCGGCCAACUACGUGCCAGCAGCCGCGGUAAGACGUAGGGCGCGAGCGUUGUCCGGAUUUAUUGGGCGUAAAGAGCUCGUAGGCGGCUUGUCGCGUCGACCGUGAAAACUUGGGGCUCAACCCCAAGCCUGCGGUCGAUACGGGCAGGCUAGAGUUCGGUAGGGGAGACUGCAAUUCCUGGUGUAGCGGUGAAAUGCGCAG
rnacentral:rRNA from 1 species